rnacentral:rRNA from 1 species
ACGAACGUUGGCGGCGUGGAUUAGGCAUGCAAGUCGAACGAAUCUCCGUGGGGGUAACUCUGCGGGGGGAAGUGGCGAAAGGGGCAGUAAGGCGUGGGUAACCUACCCUGGGGAUGGGCAUAGCCGUUCUAACGGACGGGUAAUUCCCAGCGAUCUGGCCGAGGGGCAUCUCCUGGCCAGGAAAUGAAUUUCGCCUCGGGAGGGGCUCACGUGGUAUUAGCUAGUUGGUAAGGUAACGGCUUACCAAGGCGAAGAUGCCUAGCGGGUGUGAGAGCACGACCCGCGCCACUGGCACUGAGACACUGGCCAGACUCCUACGGGAGGCUGCAGUCGAGGAUCUUCGGCAAUGGGCGCAAGCCUGACCGAGCGACGCCGCGUGUGCGAUGAAGGCCUUCGGGUUGUAAAGCACUGUCGAGGGGGAGGAAGCCGAAAGGUUGACCUAUCCCUGGAGGAAGGACGGGCUAAGUUCGU